ensembl:lncRNA
GAGGAGGUGGGAGUGGGCGUGGCCACCAGAUCGUCCAGGCAGAGUCCGAGAAGAGAUGAGCUGUGACGCGGUGACACAGUGAAGGAAGUUUUUUUAAGGCUUGUGGAGCUUGUUCAUUUGAAAGAUUUUCCUCCAGCAUAUGUGGAUUAAGAAAUUUAGCAAGAUCUCAACACUGCACCAAGAGUGCUGUUUCCAGUGCCUCUGUAGCUCAUCUGGCACUCACUGGUCUUCUGGUAGUUUCUUCUUUUUGACAGUUUCUGUGUAUCUUUUCAUCUAAACAACUUUUAAAUCACAACAGUUCUCAUCACCCAGACUUGGUGAUAUAAGGCCUCUUGGAUAUUUGUACUCAUAGGAACCAGGCACUGGGAGUCUUCAACUUGUCACCUGUGAACAAAUACCAGAGAAGAACGAGGGAGAGGAAGAAGACUCAAGAACUGAGUCUUUUUUAAUUUAAUUUUAUUAUACAUUUAUUUUUGGCCACAUGGAUUGCGGGAUCUUAGUUCCUGAGCCAGGGAUGGCACCUGUGUCCCCUACAGUGGAAGCGUGAAGUCCUAAUCUCUGGACCACCAGAAAAUUCCCAAGAACUGAGUCUUUAAGCCGUCACUGCUGUGUAGAAAGAAGGUUCUCCGGUGUUCUUGCUUGGAGAAUCCCAGGGACAGGGGAGCCUGGUGGGCUUCCGUCUAUGGGGUCGCACAGAGUCGGACACGACUGAAGCGACUUAGCAGCAGCUGUGUGACUCUGGCCAAGCUCCUCCUCCUCGUGGCAGUCAGACUGCUCAGGUGGUCCAGUGAUCCUCACUUCCUAGGAUUCACGCUCUUGUGUAAUCACUGCCUUGAUGUGGGCAGGACUUAGUGACCUGUUUCUAAGGAGCAGUGCAGUGUCACUUCCGAGAUUAAGUUACAAACAACUGCAACUUCUAUCUUGCCAGCACUUGUUCUGGUUUUUCCCACUGCUUGCUCUGAUGAAGCCCAUUGUCAUGUUUGUGAGCUGCCCCCUGGAGAGGCCCAAUUGUCAAGGGCUGAAGGUGGCCCCUGGCCAACAGCCUUUGAAGAACUGAGUCCUUCCAAUGGCCAGAAGGGGGAAGGAGACCAACAUCAUCUGAGUACCAGCUACACAUCAGAGAAUUUUCUGCCUUGACUUUUCACAUUCUCAUGAAAAGACCUUGGGACAGAUACUAUUAUCAGCCCAAGAUUAUGAACACAACAGAGAAAUGAAGACUUAGAGAGACGACUUGCUUGUACAUAUAACAAAUAUGUUUACCACACACGCACACAUACCAGGAGAUUUUAUUUUUGUUUCAACCUUAUUUAUGUUCAAAAUAAAUGUCCAGAAGGGGGAAAUAAGCUUGAUUACUUUAAAAGCAGAGUCAAUUUAUUUAUUUAUUUAUUUAUUUGAUAGUGUUGGGUCUUCAUUGCUGUGCAGGCUUUUCUCUAGUUGUGGUGUGGGGGCGUCUCUUGUUGCAGAGCACUGGCUCUCUAGCACACAGGCUCAGCAGUUGUGGUCACAAGCUUAGUUGCUCUGUGGCAUGUGGGAUCCUUCAGGACCAAGCCAAACUUGUGUCCCCUGCAUGAGCAGGUGGAUUCCCAUCCACUGUGCCACCAGGGAAAUCAAUUUAUGUCUUCAGAAAGACAAGUGAGAAUUUUAGCAGGGGAUAAUUUUUAGCAUUCCAUGCCAAAUGGCUUGCAUAUGACUAGGGUCUUCAGUG